rnacentral:tRNA from 2 species
GCGGGUGUGGCGGAACGGUAAACGCAUCAGCCUUAGGAGCUGACGCCAAAAGCUUGUAGGUUCGAAUCCUAUCGCCCGCACCA